rnacentral:rRNA from 1 species
AACGAACGCUGGCGGCGCGCCUAAUACAUGCAAGUCGAACGAGGUCCAUCUGGUGGCAACACCAGUGAAGGCCGAGCGGCGAACGGGUGAGUAACACGUGAGCAACCUGCCCCGAAGUCUGGAAUAACAUCGGGGAAACCGGUGCUAAUACCGGAUCGCCCCACCUGACCGCAUGAUCGGGUGAGGAAAGAUUUAUCGCUUCGGGAGGGGCUCGCGGCCUAUCAGCUAGUUGGUGGGGAACGGCCUACCAAGGCGUCGACGGGUAGCUGGUCUGAGAGGACGACCAGCCACACUGGGACUGAGACACGGCCCAGACUCCUACGGGAGGCAGCAGUAGGGAAUCUUGCGCAAUGGGCGAAAGCCUGACGCAGCAACGCCGCGUGGGGAUGACGGCCU